CAGAGCAGGGGGAGUGCCCCUGCCGGACCUGGACCCGGGGAUCCUCUGGGAUGAAUGAAGUGGUACCCUGAGAACUGCGCAGAACCCCAAACUACUCCUAAAGGGGCACAGUCCACUGCACCCUGGAACGUUACUCAGUCUCAUAUGUGCUCCUUGAGUGUUUACCUCCGUGUAGCUGACUAGGCUAAGUGGACAGCAAUAUACUCCUUUACACAGGUUCCCCCCAACAUGUUUUAAUAAGCUUCCUUAUCAGACUGAGCUCUUACCGGCCAGGCCCUCUGCACAUGGUUAAAUCCUCUACCCUGAGGCUCCAGGUGUGUGAAUGAACACUUGAAUAAAAGGCAAAAGCUGGUGAUGCCCAGCUACAUGGACCGCAACUUGACACAGUCACCUGUAUAAAAUCAGGAUCAGAUCAUUGCUGUUACG